rnacentral:rRNA from 1 species
AUUGAACGCUGGCGGCAUGCCUUACACAUGCAAGUCGAACGGCAGCACGGGUGCUUGCACCUGGUGGCGAGUGGCGAACGGGUGAGUAAUACAUCGGAACAUGUCCUGUAGUGGGGGAUAGCCCGGCGAAAGCCGGAUUAAUACCGCAUACGAUCUACGGAUGACAGCGGGGGACCUUCGGGCCUCGCGCUAUAGGGUUGGCCGAUGGCUGAUUAGCUAGUUGGUGGGGUAAAGGCCUACCAAGGCGACGAUCAGCAGCUGGUCUGAGAGGACGACCAGCCACACUGGGACUGAGACACGGCCCAGACUCCUACGGGAGGCAGCAGUGGGGAAUUUUGGACAAUGGGCGAAAGCCUGAUCCAGCAAUGCCGCGUGUGUGAAGAAGGCCUUCGGGUUGUAAAGCACUUUUGUCCGGAAAGAAAUCCUUGGCCCUAAUACGGUCGGGGGAUGACGGUACCGGAAGAAUAAGCACCGGCUAACUACGUG